rnacentral:rRNA from 4 species
UAAGGAAUAUUGGUCAAUGGACGCAAGUCUGAACCAGCCAUGCCGCGUGAAGGAUGAAGGUCCUCUGGAUUGUAAACUUCUUUUAUAGGGGGCGAAAAAAGGUCUUUCUAGAUCACUUGACAGUACCCUAUGAAUAAGCACCGGCUAACUCCGUGCCAGCAGCCGCGGUAAUACGGAGGGUGCAAGCGUUAUCCGGAUUCACUGGGUUUAAAGGGUGCGUAGGCGGGUAGGUAAGUCAGAGGUGAAAUCCUGGAGCUUAACUCCAGAACUGCCUUUGAUACUAUCUAUCUUGAAUAUGGUGGAGGUAAGCGGAAUAUGUCAUGUAGCGGUGAAAUGCAUAGAUAUGACAUAGAACACCUAUUGCGAAGGCAGCUUACUACGCCUAUAUUGACGCUGAGGCACGAAAGCGUGGGGAUCAAACAGG